AGCGCAUACAUAGACCACUCUUGUGAGA
rnacentral:piRNA from 1 species